rnacentral:tRNA from 1 species
GAUGUGGCUCAGUGGGUAGAGCUCUGGCCUAACACACCCAGGACCCUGGGUUUGAUCCCCAGCAUC